rnacentral:rRNA from 1 species
CGGCGGACGGGUGAGUAACGCGUGGGUAACCUGCCUCAUACAGGGGGAUAACAGUUAGAAAUGACUGCUAAUACCGCAUAAGACCACGGUACCGCAUGGUACAGUGGUAAAAACUCCGGUGGUAUGAGAUGGACCCGCGUCUGAUUAGGUAGUUGGUGGGGUAACGGCCUACCAAGCCAACGAUCAGUAGCCGACCUGAGAGGGUGACCGGCCACAUUGGGACUGAGACACGGCCCAG